GACGAACGCUGGCGGCGUGCCUAACACAUGCAAGUAGAACGCUGAAGGAGGAGCUUGCUUCUCUGGAUGAGUUGCGAACGGGUGAGUAACGCGUAGGUAACCUGCCUGGUAGCGGGGGAUAACUAUUGGAAACGAUAGCUAAUACCGCAUAAUAGUAGAUGUUGCAUGACAUUUGCUUAAAAGGUUCAAUUGCAUCACUACUAGAUGGACCUGCGUUGUAUUAGCUAGUUGGUGAGGUAACGGCUCACCAAGGCAACGAUACAUAGCCGACCUGAGAGGGUGGUCGGCCACCCUGGGGAGGGGACACGGCCCAGACUCCUACGGGAGGCAGCAGUAGGGAAUCUUCGGCAAUGGACGGAAGUCUGACCGAGCAACGCCGCGUGAGUGAAGAAGGUUUUCGGAUCGUAAAGCUCUGUUGUAAGAGAAGAACGAGUGUGAGAGUGGAAAGGUCACACUGUGACGGUAUCUUACCAGAAAGGGACGGCUAACUACGUG
rnacentral:rRNA from 1 species